rnacentral:lncRNA from 1 species
AACUCAACCCAAAAUGGCCCAGCUCCACACACCCAACCCAACCCAAAUUGGGUCAGCCCAACCCAACAAAGCCCCCCUUCCCAACCCAACCCAACUCAACCCAACCCAACCCAACUCAACCCAACCCAACCCAACCCAACCCAACCCAACCCAAAUCAACUCAACCCAACCCAACUCAACCCAACGCAACCCAACCCAACCCAAUCCAACCAAACCCAACUCAACCCAACCCAAACCAACCCAACCCAACUCAACCCAACGCAACCCAACCCAAUCCAACCCAACCCAACGAAGGCCAACAGCGCCCCCUGCUGUGUCCCUGUCCCCCCGCCCAGAACUCGCGGUACCAGACCUACCAGCGGAUGUGGAACUACAUGCAGUCGAAGCAGCCCAGCGUCUUCGUGAAGAGCACGGAGGAGGGCAUCGCGCGCGUGCUCAACUCCAAGUACGCCUUCCUGCUGGAGUCCACCAUGAACGAGUACCACCGGCGGCACAACUGCAACCUCACCCAGAUCGGCGGGCUGCUGGACACCAAGGGCUACGGCAUCGGGAUGCCGCUGGGCUCGCCGUUUCGGGACGAGAUCACCUUGGCCAUCCUGCAGCUGCAGGAGAACAACCGGCUGGAGAUCCUCAAGCGCAAGUGGUGGGAAGGGGGCCACUGCCCCAAGGAGGAAGACCACCGCGCCAAAGGUAUGGGGGGUGCGGGGGGGUGAGAUUGGGAGGGGGUGACCCAACCCAACUGGACCCAACCCAACUGGACCCAACCCAACUCAUCACAAGUCACCCAAUGCAACUCAACUCAAUCCAACCCAACCCAACCCAACCCAACCCAACUCAACCCAACCCAACUGAACUCACCCAACUCAAAUCAACUCAACUCAUCCAACUCAACCCAAACCAACUCAACUCAAUCCAACCCAACCCAACCCAACCCAUCUCAUCUAACCCAACUCAAUCCAAGCCAACCCAAUCUAACCCAACUCAAACCAACCCAACUCAAUCCAACCCAACCCAACCCAACUCAACCCAAUUCACCCAACUCAAUCCAACCCAACCCAACCCAACUCAAACCAACUCAACCCAAACCAACUCAACCGAACCCAACUUAACCCAACCCAGUCCAACCCAAUCCAACUCAUCCAACUCAACCCAACCCAACUCAACCCAACCCAAUCCAACCCAAUUCAACUCAAUCCAACCCAACCCAACCCAAC